UACGUAGGGGGCUAGCGUUGUCCGGAAUCAUUGGGCGUAAAGAGCGUGUAGGCGGUCCGGUAAGUCCGCUGUGAAAGUCGGGGGCUCAACCCUCGAAUGCCGGUGGAUACUGUCGGGCUAGAGUGCGGAAGAGGCGAGUGGAAUUCCUGGUGUAACGGUGAAAUGCGCAGAUAUCAGGAGGAACACCUAUUGCGAAGGCAGCUCGCUGGGACGUUACUGACGCUGAGACGCGAAAGCGUGGGGAGCAAACAGG
rnacentral:rRNA from 1 species